GAGGUUCGGCAGAUCAGAUUUUCUGGCAAGAAAUGGUAAUUGGAUGGUAGGUGCCACUGGCGAACUUAAAGAUAGCUUAUGAAGAGUGCAAAGAUGGAUUUGCUGUUAAUCAAGAAUUUCAAAAAAAAAAAACACAUGAGACGGGCAGUGAAAUUGUAGAAAUUAUGCAGAGAUAAAGUAUUCGGCAAUGGCGGCAGAAUCAUUGAACAUCAUAGCUCUUGUCUGCAGCAGUUGAUCCAAACGAAAAUGAAAGCAUUCACAUUGCAACAAGCUGACCGCCUACUUUGACUGCUUUCAAUACCAAAUUUGUUAAGGCGGUCGUGGAAAGAGAACCCGUACUACAUCCCGGAGUACAUUGCUAAUAUUCGCCUUUCAUUUUGUCUCUGAUGUAACAGAGUUUUUAGUUUUUAGAAAGAUAAAGCUUUGUUUUGCGUCUCGGUCUGGAGAACAAAUUGCACAUAAAUAAUAGUGAUCCUGAACAUGCAACGAAAAGACUUUGUUUUUUUACAUGGCUCGAUGUUUUACACAAAGGUAAAAUUAUAGUAUUUAUUUAUUGCGAUACCGUGUUAUGGCGCCAAGUUUCUUGCACACCACUGUACAUUUAAGAAAGCAGCGUAGUUGUAUCAAACGCUGCAUCAAGUGCGAGAAUCUUCAUAAAUUGUAUUGUAGAAAAAGGAAGUCAUCAACUGGACGGUGUCCUCUUACCUUUCGGCGACCUUCGCUGUCUCCGUUGAUAACAUCGCUUGUGGAACUGACAGUACUACUAGCUUUAAGCAACAACAUGAAUGUGGGGACACCCAUAAGCUCAGGUACUCAAAUUAAUGCAUCACUCACCAAAACUUUGACAAUCUAGCACUUAGCGAAGUCCACAAAAAUGUACAGUCGUAAACUAAACAGAAUGGUUAAUAAUGAGCAACAAAUCGUUUUCAAAGUCGGGUCACUUAACCACUGUUCAUAUCGUUUUUAAUACAUCAUAAGUUACAAGCACUUCUUUCAUAUGAAAUUCCUGCGUGCUGUCAGAGAAGCAAGAUAAUUCAUUUAAAAUAUAAUCUAUAUAAUACAAAAUAAAAAAGACUAAAUCGUCAUGAUGCCCUAGCAACAACAACAAUAGCUAGACAUGCAACAAGAGCUACUACAACUACAGCGAGAGCUAAGAAAACAGCAUAUACAGCAACUACCACUGCAGCAGCAACUAGAACAGCAACAGCAGGAGAUGCGAUAAGAACGGCGGCAGCUGCAACGAUAACGGCGGCAACUAAAACAACAACUAACUCCACAACAACAAGAGACACUUCAACAACAAUAGCUACCGCAACAAUAAAAGCAAGAACUGCAGCUACAACAACAACAACAACUAUCUCCACAAGAACGAUGGCAACGGGAGCAAUGGUUAGAGGGGUACCGGCAAGAGGAACAAUGGCAACAGCAGCAAUCGCAACACCAGCAACGGCGACAGGAACAACAGGAGCGACAUUGGGAAUUGCGAAUGCAGCAGUGGC